rnacentral:rRNA from 1 species
UAUGGAGGGUGCAAGCGUUGUUCGGAAUCACUGGGCGUAAAGGGCGUGUAGGCGGUCCGCUAAGUCUGAUGUGAAAGCCCGAGGCUUACCCUCGGAAGUGCAUUGGAGACUGGCGGACUGGAGUCCCGGAGAGGAGGGUGGAAUUCCUGGUGUAGCGGUGGAAUGCGCAGAUAUCAGGAGGAACACCGAUGGCGAAGGCAGUUCUCUGGGCCGUAACUGACGCUGAGGAGCGAAAGCGUGGGGAGCGAACAGG